rnacentral:rRNA from 1 species
UGGGGAAUUUUGGACAAUGGGCGAAAGCCUGAUCCAGCAAUGCCGCGUGUGUGAAGAAGGCCUUCGGGUUGUAAAGCACUUUUGUCCGGAAAGAAAUCCUUGGCUCUAAUACAGUCGGGGGAUGACGGUACCGGAAGAAUAAGCACCGGCUAACUACGUGCCAGCAGCCGCGGUAAUACGUAGGGUGCAAGCGUUAAUCGGAAUUACUGGGCGUAAAGCGUGCGCAGGCGGUUUGCUAAGACCGAUGUGAAAUCCCGGCGUCACAGGCAUGAUGUGAUGCUGGCAGGCUAGAGUAUGGCAGAGGGGGUGAGAAUUCCACGUGUAGCAGUGAAAUGCGUAGAGAUGUGGAGGAAUACCGAUGGCGAAGGCAGCCCCUCGGUCAGUCAACUGACGCUCAUGCACGAAAGCGUGGGGAGC